rnacentral:rRNA from 1 species
AACGAACGCUGGCGGCAUGCCUAACACAUGCAAGUCGAACGAACUCUUCGGAGUUAGUGGCGGACGGGUGAGUAACACGUGGGAACGUGCCUUAAGCUACGGGAUAACCGAGAGAAAUUUCUGCUAAUACCGUAUGUGCCCUUUUGGGGAAAGAUUUAUCGGCUUAAGAUGAGCCCGCGUUGGAUUAGCUAGUUGGUGAGGUAAAGGCUCACCAAGGCGACGAUCCAUAGCUGGUCUGAGAGGAUGAUCAGCCACACUGGGACUGAGACACGGCCCAGACUCCUACGGGAGGCAGCAGUGGGGAAUAUUGGACAAUGGGCGCAAGCCUGAUCCAGCCAUGCCGCGUGAGUGAUGAAGGCCUUAGGGUUGUAAAGCUCUUUCACCGGUGAAGAUAAUGACGGUAACCGGAGAAGAAGCCCUGGCUAACUUCGUGCCAGCAGCCGCAGUAAAAC